rnacentral:rRNA from 1 species
UGGGGAAUAUUGCACAAUGGGGGGAAACCCUGAUGCAGCGACGCCGCGUGAGUGAAGAAGUAUUUCGGUAUGUAAAGCUCUAUCAGCAGGGAAGAUAAUGGCGGUACCUGACUAAGAAGCCCCGGCUAACUACGUGCCAGCAGCCGCGGUAAUACGUAGGGGGCAAGCGUUAUCCGGAUUUACUGGGUGUAAAGGGAGCGUAGGUGGCAAGGCAAGUCAGAUGUGAAAACCCGGGGCUCAACUCCGGGACUGCAUUUGAAACUGUCUAGCUAGAGUGCAGGAGAGGUAAGUGGAAUUCCUAGUGUAGCGGUGAAAUGCAUAGAUAUUAGGAGGAACACCAGUGGCGAAGGCGGCUUAC